GUCUAGGUAGCUCAAUCGGCUAGAGCAUACGGUUCAUACCCGUAAGGUUAACGGUUCGAUUCCGUUCUUAGACACCA
rnacentral:tRNA from 1 species